AGUAGGGCAUUCUGGGAAUCUCUGUGAUAUCGCUUCCUUAACAGCUACGUGGAAUCUCGUGGCGUCUCUACAUUCCUCUCAGCCAUAGCCAGCCUUUGCCAGCUUCUACUGCCCUUGUCCAUCACAGCGAGUUUGAGACUAACAUGGAGGAGGGAAGCAUAAACCAAGCCAGCCUUCCUUACCUGCUAGUGCCUCCAGACCUUUAUCAGUGACUGGAGUCUCACACAAGUUGAGGACCUGCAGUUUGUGGAGGUGUUCGGAUAUCAGCUGGAGGCCAACGUCACCAAACUGUGGAGGACAGGAGAAUCAACAUGGCAACAUUUCAGAUCAUCUUACAAGAAUAUGCGUACAAGAAAACACAGGAAGCUGCAAGAAGCCAUCAGGCCUACACGCUGCAGCUUGUGUUUACACCAACUACAACCUUCAUUGGAGCUUUGCAAGAUUCACAAGUCAGCCACACCUCACCUCACCUCAUGUCACCUGCCCAAGACUGACCGGCAGAGACAAGACCCUGAGGAGCCCAUACCUGUGUGGCCCAGAGGUUGAGGUAGCGAAGGGUGGGCAGCUUGAUGAGUUGUUC